GUAUAAGAGACAGCAGUAGCCGCGGUAAUACAGAGGGUGCGAGCGUUAAUCGGAUUUACUGGGCGUAAAGCGUGCGUAGGCGGCUUUUUAAGUCGGAUGUGAAAUCCCUGAGCUUAACUUAGGAAUUGCAUUCGAUACUGGGAAGCUAGAGUAUGGGAGAGGAUGGUAGAAUUCCAGGUGUAGCGGUGAAAUGCGUAGAGAUCUGGAGGAAUACCGAUGGCGAAGGCAGCCAUCUGGCCUAAUACUGACGCUGAGGUACGAAAGCAUGGGGAGCAAACAGGAUUAGAUACCCGCGUAGUCCCUGUCUCUUAUAC
rnacentral:rRNA from 1 species